ensembl:lincRNA
CCUCCUACAUCACAGCCGCCAGAGCAAGGGAACACAGGGCCCUCCCUGGACACCCUCCCACCACGUUCUCGGGAGUAGCAGGGGUGUCCAUGGGGGGAGCCCCGGUGGGAAUCAGCACACCCACGUGUCCACUGGGGCUGGAGGCUGGGCCAGGGACACUCAAGACUUCCCCAGGCCAUCACGGGAAAGCUCAGUGACGGCCAUGAAGGUCACGUUCCUGCUGUGUACCUGUCACUUACCUCAGGGUAGCUGGGGAAGCCAGCAUCUGCAGAGCUCAGUUUGCUGAAAGCCAGCCCAGCCACCUGCACAGCGAAGGGACAGACAUAUCCUCUCAUCCUGGGAGAGAAGAUGAAGGAAGGUUUCCCACUAUGCCAUGAGGACCAAUCAGAAGAUGCUCUUUUCAAUCCUUUAUCUGCAUCUAAGCACAGCCAGUGAAGGGACCCCAUUUCUGAGUCAUCGUUUACAUGCAGCAGGAAGCACAGCAAGGUUUUUGAUGGACAGUUAUGUGGGGAUGAGAUCCCAAGAGAGUGUUUGAGAGGACAACUGUGCCAGAGAGGCCGAUUUUGGAGAUUCUGAAGCCUCAGGAGGAAGGAAGACGAGACUUGAAGAAGAUUCCCCAAGAGUUGGCUUCCCAGGGGAAGCAGAAGUGGGCUCUGAGAGAGGAGCUGUGUCAAACGCGUUUCCGGCUGGACAGUGGGCUGGGCAUUCUGCAUCGCGGUCCAGCCCAGUACGGCAAGUGAUGCAGAGGCGGUGCCAACGGCAUCGCCUGAAAGUUGAUGGAGGAAAUGGAAACUUCUGUCUCAGGACCACCGCGUACAUGAUGGCUCAAUGAACUACUGAGUUACCGCCUAGGCACAAAAUCCACCUUUACACACCUUUUCGUGUGGAAGGGCAGGGAUCCCCUGGAUUUCCAUGUGAUUUCCUUCUGGCUUCAGGAUGUGGCCUGCCUGUCCCUUUGCGUGUUCAGUUCUUGCUUUGGACUUGUAGUAAGUGACCUGUCCUAAAGAAUCUGAAGCUGAAAGCUUCUGUUCUAAUGCAGAAAGUCACUGAAAGCUUACAUUCCUUGUGAAAAAAAAAUCUGAAUCUGCUGAUAUUGAAGGAAGUGGGGAAGGGAAAAGUUGAAUAGGAAAAGUGAAACAAAACACCAUAAAAAGUAAUCACAUUCCAGUGCCUGUGC